AUGUCGUCGGCGGCGCUCCGCCGCCACCUCCUCCGCCUUCCCGCCCGCCGCCGCCUCCUCUGCGCCUCCUCCUCCUCCUCCCCUCCCUCGGCGCCGGACCACGGGUGCCAUGGCUCCGCGGCGACGGAGGCGGGGGUGGUGGAGCUGAACCCGCCGCGCGGCACCAGGGACUUCCCGCCGGAGGAGAUGCGCCUGCGCACCUGGCUCUUCGACCACUUCAGGGAGGUGUCCCGGCUGAUGGCGUUCGAGGAGGUGGACUUCCCGGUGCUCGAGUCGGAGGCGCUCUUCGUCCGCAAGGCCGGCGAGGAGAUCACGGAGCAGCUCUACAGCUUCGAGGACAAGGGCGGCCGCCGCGUGGCCCUCCGGCCGGAGAUCACCCCGUCCCUCGCGCGCCUGGUCAUCCGGCGAGGGACCUCGGCGCCCCUCCCGCUCAAGUGGUUCACCAUAGGCCAGUGCUGGCGCUACGAGCGCAUGACCAGAGGGAGGCGCCGCGAGCACUACCAGUGGAACAUGGACGUCUUCGGCGUGCCCGGCGUUCGCGCCGAGGCCGAGCUUCUCCAGGCCAUUGUGCUCCUCUUCGAGCGCCUCGGGGUCGCGUCCUCCGACGUGGGGAUCAGGCUCUCCAGCCGGAAGGUUCUGCAGGUGGUGCUCGACAUGUACUCCGUGCCGCAGCACCUGUUCACCAAGGUCUGUGUGAUUGUUGACAAGCUGGGGAAGAUGAGCAGAGACGAGAUUGAGAAGGAAUUGGUCUCCACUGGGCUGCCAUGUGAAGCUGUGCAGGGCAUCAUUGAUGUGCUUUCUCUGAAGUCACUGUCUGAGCUCGAACAGGUGCUGGGCUCUGGUGCUGCUGAAGCUGUUGCUGACCUGAAGAAGCUCUUCUCCUUCGCCGAGCAGUAUGGUUACGCCGAUUGGAUCUGUUUCGACGCGUCGGUUGUUCGCGGCCUUGCGUACUACACGGGGAUCGUGUUCGAGGCUUUCGAUAGGCAAGGGGAGCUGAGGGCGAUCUGCGGUGGGGGGAGGUAUGAUAGGCUGCUUUCAACAUUUGGAAGUGAAGAUGUGCCGGCCUGUGGGUUUGGGUUUGGGGACGCUGUUAUCGUCGAACUGCUGAAAGAGAAGGGUCUUCUGCCUCAUCUGUCGCCCCAAAUAGACGACAUUGUCUUCCCAUUGGAUGAUGAGCUUCAGGGACCAGCAUCCUGUGUCGCAUCCUCUCUGCGGAAGAAUGGCAGAUCUGUAGACCUUGUGCAAGACAAGCGUCUGAAAUGGGUGUUUAAACAUGCGGAGAGGGUAAAUGCUAGCAGGCUGGUUCUGGUUGGGAAAUCUGAGUGGGAGCGAGGCAUGGUUCGUGUGAAGAUUCUGUCUACCAAAGAGGAAUUUGAGGUCAAGGCAGGCGAAUUACAGUAAUUGCUAGCCAAUCUGGAGGUUUUCCUUCCAAACCUUGCCCAUAUUUUCUUCGUUUUUGUUGUCUACCGCUGUUAGUCCUCCCUUUGCAACAUUUUAAGCCGUGCCUUUAAUGCCAUAUUAUAGAGUAAAUAUCAUGGGACCAUGAUAGUUGAGGCUUAUGUUAAGAUAACCGCAACUCCAAGAAAUAAUCAUGUAGUAUUGAGAUGCAUAUUAUAUUCAUAAGUCGAAUUGUAUACUGGACAACUGAUCAAUGGCAUGAAAACAUCACGAGUGCGUUAAGAAUACUACCAUGAUAUGCAUUUUUAUGUCCGUUGUAAACAGUUUUGUAGAUCUAAAUACAGAUAGUACAUGUUAAUGAGAGAAUUAUUUGCGAAAUUGAUUGAACUGCCUUGUGCUAACUACUAAGUAGCAGAAUACAAAAUAAUACACAACACCGAUACAAUGAGCUAAUAUGCCUGAUGAACUAUGUGGGUCACAAGAAAGCUAGGCUCUAAAGGACAGCCAACGUACAUUCACCAUCACCCGACAAAAAAACUUCAGAACUAAUCAAUCAUGUAUCCAAGUUAUUAUCCCAUUUAUCAUGUUUCGGAUAUAUAAAUAUAAACAUGUAUUGACUAUUGUGCAUUUUUUAGAGAAUUAGUUGUAAAAUUGAUGGCACAAACUACUAGCAGGUAGCAAACUAGCAGUUAGCAUCAUCACUUUAGUACUCUGGAACUCGCAACCUUGAUCACAUGACCCCAUGCUUCGACCCAGAUACAAGCACCAAGCAUUUGAAACUCAUAUGCUUCAACCUUCAGGAAUGCAGACCUUUACAAAAGACUGAAUCGAUAUGGCGACAUAUUAGAUAAGCAGAUCAAACAAUAUCGGCGUUCACUUCGUACGCUCCACCCCAGCCCAUAUGUCAAACCCAAGAAGAUAUGUUCACUUCAAGGGUUAACCAUAACCAUACACUGACUUGUACGUUAAAUGCUCUAGCCUCUAGUAGUAACAACAUGGAUGAUUGCAACGAUCAUGUUUUUCGAUAGCACUAUCGAUGUCGAGAUCUUCUGACAAGGAAUGUCGAUUUGGUUGACAGUGGUUUCAAAACUGAGACGUUGCGAUAGCAAAUCAGUAAGCCAACUCUGGAAGGUUACUAAUUCAACAACAACAAAAAAGACUGGAAGGUUACUGACGGUACACGAAGCACGGUCAACUUGAUAACGAAUACUAUUCCUGCAAGAAAUCGCAAAACAAGCAGAAAUUACAGUUUUGAGAAUAAGUAUAUGGAUGGUUCUGGUGGCGGUCUUGAUGGUAGAUGUAGCUGACACUUGCGAAGAUUCACAGGUGGCACCGGUGGCCAGCGUUAACUAAGAAAAAUCCAGUCUAAACUGUAGUGAGUUGUGUUGUACAUAAAGGAGGGACAGGGGGCGCCCAAAGGGAAUGAAUACCAAGAGACUUUCAGUUCCAGCACCUUUGGUUUGCCCCUUUCUUUCUUUGAUCGGUCGUGAGCAGAGGCUGGUGGAUGAUGGCAACAUGUGAUGGCCGGCGAAGGAGGGACAUCGACGGCAUUGUCUCGAGGGAUCAACCUAAACCUUGUGCUUGAUCAUCCUUUAUGGCUUCACCAAAUGUCCUUCGCCCUUGAACUAUGGCUGUGAUAACCUGGGAAGGGAAGGACAUGUCAGGAGCCUCCACGAUUAGGGGGCCGGUCGCUGCUGUGACGAUGUGACCCUUUCUUUGUGUCGGCCUGGCUCCGCUUCAAGGCAAGGAUGCUACAGAUUUCUAGCAGGAGAACGAGUGAGAAUAAUGGGGCACGAGGCAUGGAAAAUUAGUCCAGCAAGGCUCGGUUUGUGGUUGUUAAACUGUGGUGUGGUGCUACUUUUUAUUAUGCAUAUAUAAAUGCAUAAUUUGCCAUGGAAAAUUAGUCCCAAAAGUAUACAGGCAGAAACAGGUUGAGCAAA